AGAGAAAACGUGGCUCUGAAUAAAUCCGGGUUUGGGGCUGGAACAAAGGGAGGGGUCACGUUCCAGUUCGGGGUCGUCUUCUCCACCCUGCCGUCUGCUCCCGGGCUCUUCGUACUGCCGGCGUCCUGCCAGGGGUUUCCCAAGCUCUCCCAAAGGGCUGGGUUUGGUUUGCCAGCCCUUGGGAAUCCCUGGAGUCUCCAGGCUGGUGCGAAGAGCGGACGGGGAAGAGGGUCCGAGGCACGAGGAGGAGGAGGCUCCUCGUGGCGGGGGUGGGGUGGGGGUGGGGGGGAUCGCUUGAAUCGGCCCCCCUCCAGCGGGCUUCCGUUGUCACGUGACUGCAUCCCAGGUCUUCCAAGUGUGGGGCUGGCGCGCUCCCAAGCUAUCCUCCUCCAGACUGGACCGAGCGCUAGCGGGGCUUGGGCGGCAGCCUGGGCGGCUCCUUCUCCCUCGAGGAGCUACCGACACCUGCCCCCCCCCAAGUUUGCCGCUCGGGCCCCACGCGCGCCCGGGCUCCCACAGCAGGGCUCAGAUGUUGCAGAUGCCGAGAGAGCUGCCCUCAAGAGCUUUUGGCCAGACAGGUAAUUACUACCCACUACAGGGGGAACUACAGUUGCUGGAAGGUGAGUUUGCCUCAAGACUGCAAAACUUUACAAAGUGCUCCCCUUGAUGGAAGGGGGCCCUGCCUGCAGAAACACCCAGAUGCCCAGCAGUCAAUCCAUGGUGAAGAAAUCAAAGAUGAGAGGCCAGGGAGUGAGGGAACAGGGUUGCCAGUUGGGCACACCCGACGCCCCUCCCAGAAACUUCCCAAGGAACAAGCCCAGAAAUUGGGCCUCUGCUGCCCUCUAAUGGAGGAAAGCCAGACUCUAGAGCUGCCUACCGGGGCCCAGCCGUCCUGGCUCUCCUAAAGAAAAGGGGACGUGAAGGACCUUCCUGCCCCCAGAAUUUUUAUUCCCCUAGAGUCUCGAGCUUCAUUUCCUACAGCCUCAGAAGCUGAAACUUCUCUCCUUCCAAGCGCCCCUGGCCAUCUUGUUUCCCGAUCACCAUCCUCCAUCCUGUUUCCCCAGUUUCCUUUGUUGCCCAGGUUCUGAUUCUGGUACCCUGGUUCUCGGCCCUACCAGAGUUCUGGUUCCAGAAGGCCCUUGCCAGGUGCCUUGGGCCUAGCUCCCACCUGGG
rnacentral:lncRNA from 1 species